ACUUAAAUAGCUUAUAUUUAGAGCAUAAUAUUGAAGAUAUUAAGGAAACUAUGGUUUUUAAGUA
rnacentral:tRNA from 1 species